GGGCCCGUAGCUCAGGUGGUUAGAGCGCGGUCCUGAUAAGACCGAGGUCGAUAGUUCGAGUCUAUCCGGGCCCACCA
rnacentral:tRNA from 2 species